CCUGUCCAAGUGUAGGUGAAUGUAGCACAGCCUUCUGCUGUGGUAGCCACUCCAUCCAGUUUGGUAUCAUCCUUCCUACAGGACAAAUUCUAGCUGCUAUACAGUCCUAAGCCUGAAUUCCCAGAGCUGAUGUUCAUGACAAAUUUCCUGGCACAUCUCCAAUCCUCCAAGCUAGCCUGAGCAUAAGGCAAAGUCUGGGAGUAACUGUCUGCUUGUAUACAAGACAAAAAACUACAGCAGCAGUGGCCCAGCUCCUGCAUUGCAAAGUCAGUGAGGCCAUUCUUUGAAAACAUAUCCAGAAUCCAGGACCAGCAGGACUCUGCACAAUGGAAGUUGAGGCUCAUGUGUGCAAAAGCAGACAGCCAGGAAGCAGCUGGAGGAAGGAGGCAGUAUGGAUGAUGCUCACACUGUGUUCCAGCACUUGCCACCCAGUUUCAUUAGCCUCUGCAGCCUUUACACAGGUCUAUCAGUCUUUCUGUGGGGAUUCAUAAGUAGGUAGCAGAGUUUUCCUUCCAACUGCUUUUGGCUUUUAAUGAGAGAUGCUAACUAGGCUUUAAGUGUCUCUGAAUGCUUCUCUUCACGAUUCCUUAAACAGAAGGUCAUUUUCCAGAAUGCUCUGGAUUCAGAGAUAUCCUCAUGGGAAAAGUGAUGCUGAUCCCAGCUGCUGAGCACUGCAAGUCCCUCAAAAUCUAUUGAGAUUUUCAGUCGGUGUUGUCGCUUCUGGUGCACAGAAACAUACAAUGAUGAGGGAAAUAGACAAGAUGUAGUUUCUCCUGUGAAUAAACAUGGUUUCUUUUUAGU